AGGGUUGUUACAUGGCCUAGGACGUGCUGGGGCUCGUGGAUCAAGAGUUUCUGAGGGGCAUCGAGCAAGUGUCCUGGAACGCUGGUCAGUAAUUUCUGCGUAUGUGGUUGAAAUCGAAAGCCUCUUUAGGAGCAACUUCAUUCCUGAAGAAUCUGUGCCAUUCUCUUUUACCACGAUGUAGGCUUUGGGGAGGAAAGGCUCUGGGGAGGCCGAGCUUAUAAGGAGCUACACUUCCUGUUACUUUAAGCAACUGAGAACACCAGGAAGAGCAUGGUCCUUUGGUUUGGCUCCGGCUACCAUGGGCAAGAGGGGCCUUGGCCCAGACUGUCUGAAUCCCUCAGUGGGGCAAGAUUUUCAUUUUGAGGCCAAGCAUUUGGAGGCUGGCUUCCACCUUUCGGCUCUCUAAUGAUGCCAGAGGCAGAAAGGACACAGCUUGACUCUCGAAUUCCAGCGUUCGUCCAUUUCAGGGAUGAGCAGAAAGAAAAAAAAGAGAAAAGAAAGAAAAGAAAAAGCCCUUCGGCUCACAAAGUAAGAAUCUUUGAAAUGAAAGUUCUGCAGAGAGUAAAUAUGAAGCGCCACAAUGCCAUCUCUGGAGCCACAUUUCAGAGCACGAGGGCAAUUCCACUAUGUAACGGAAGGUUGAGAGAUUUCAUGUUCCUUAAUUAAAACAUAUCUCGGGAGCCAGUGGGAGGCACCUGCACAGCCCCUACCUGAAGAUGCCGAUUUACAGAAAAACUUCCAGCCGUGGGAUUCAUACAAGGGACACGCUGGCAAUUGUGAGUUUCUUUUCAAAUCGGCCUCUGUCUGUCAUACCUAUGUAGUUACAAAAUCAAAAGGGAUAAUAAAGUUCAAUUGUAUAUUCA